rnacentral:misc_RNA from 1 species
GAAAUGCGAUAACUAAUGUGAAUUGCAGAAUUCAGUGAAUCAUCGAGUCUUUGAACGCACAUUGCGCCCCCUGGUAUUCCGGGGGGCAUGCCUGUCCGAGCGUCAUUGCUGCCCUCAAGCCCGGCUUGUGUGUUGGGCCCUCGUCCCCCGGCUCCCGGGGGACGGGCCCGAAAGGCAGCGGCGGAACCGCGUCCGGUCCUCGAGCGUAUGGGGCUUUGUCUUCCGCUCUGUAGGCCCGGCCGGCGCCCGCCGACGCAUCACAACUUUUUUCCAGGUUGACCUCGGAUCAGGUAGGGAUACCCGCUGAACUUAA